rnacentral:rRNA from 1 species
AGAUUGAACGCUAGCGGGAUGCUUUACACAUGCAAGUCGAACGGCAGCGCGGACUUCGGUCUGGCGGCGAGUGGCGAACGGGUGAGUAAUAUAUCGGAACGUGCCCAGUCGUGGGGGAUAACGCAGCGAAAGCUGUGCUAAUACCGCAUACGAUCUCUGGAUGAAAGCGGGGGACUCGCAAGGGCCUCGCGCGAUUGGAGCGGCCGAUAUCAGAUUAGCUAGUUGGUGGGGUAAAAGCCCACAAGGCGACGAUCUGUAGCUGGUCUGAGAGGACGACCAGCCACACUGGAACUGACGACACGGUCCAGACUCCGUACGGGAGGCAGCCAGGUGGGAAUUUGGACAAGUGGGACGAAAGCCUGAUCCAGCAAGUGCCGCGUGCGAGGAUGAAGGUCCGUUA